GGGUUGUAAACCGCUUUCAGCUCUGACGAAGCUUUUUGUGACGGUAGGAGCAGAAGAAGCACCGGCUAACUACGUGCCAGCAGCCGCGGUAAUACGUAGGGUGCGAGCGUUGUCCGGAAUUAUUGGGCGUAAAGAGCUCGUAGGCGGUUUGUCGCGUCUGCUGUGAAACCCCGAGGCUCAACCUCGGGCCUGCAGUGGGUACGGGCAGACUAGAGUGCAGUAGGGGAGACUGGAAUUCCUGGUGUAGCGGUGAAAUGCGCAGAUAUCAGGAGGAACACCGAUGGCGAAGGCAGCCCCCUGGGCCUGUACUGACGCUCAUGCACGAAAGCGUGGGGAGCAAACAGGAUUAGAUACCCUGGUAGUCCACGCUGUAAACGAUGUCAACUAGCCGUUGGGAACCUUA
rnacentral:rRNA from 11 species